rnacentral:rRNA from 1 species
GUCCCUACGGGGCGCAGCAGUCGGGAAUAUUGCGCAAUGGAGGAAACUCUGACGCAGUGACGCCGCGUAUAGGAAGAAGGUUUUCGGAUUGUAAACUAUUGUCGUUAGGGAAGAGAAAGGACAGUACCUAAGGAGGAAGCUCCGGCUAACUACGUGCCAGCAGCCGCGGUAAUACGUAGGGAGCGAGCGUUAUCCGGAAUUAUUGGGUGUAAAGGGUGCGUAGACGGGAAAGCAAGUUAGUUGUGAAAUCCCUCGGCUUAACUGAGGAACUGCAACUAAAACUACUUUUCUUGAUGGCAGGAGAG